UUAGAGGAAGUAAAAGUCGUAACAAGGUCUCCGUUGGUGAACCAGCGGAGGGAUCAUUACCGAGUUUACAACUCCCAAACCCAAUGUGAACGUUACCAAACUGUUGCCUCGGCGGGAUCUCUGCCCCGGGUGCGUCGCAGCCCCGGACCAAGGCGCCCGCCGGAGGACCAACCAAAACUCUUUAUGUAUACCCCCUCGCGGGUUUUUUACAAUCUGAGCCAUCUCGGCGCCCCUCGUGGGCGUUUCGAAAAUGAAUCAAAACUUUCAACAACGGAUCUCUUGGUUCUGGCAUCGAUGAAGAACGCAGCGAAAUGCGAUAAGUAAUGUGAAUUGCAGAAUUCAGUGAAUCAUCGAAUCUUUGAACGCACAUUGCGCCCGCCAGUAUUCUGGCGGGCAUGCCUGUCCGAGCGUCAUUUCAACCCUCGAACCCCUCCGGGGGGUCGGCGUUGGGGAUCGGCCCUUUACGGGGCCGGCCCCGAAAUACAGUGGCGGUCUCGCCGCAGCCUCUCCUGCGCAGUAGUUUGCACACUCGCAUCGGGAGCGCGGCGCGUCCAUUGCCGUAAAACACCCAACUUUCUGAAAUGUUGACCUCGGAUCAGGUAGGAAUACCCGCUGAACUUAAGCAUAUCAAUAA
rnacentral:rRNA from 1 species